GCUGACGCAGCAACGCCGCGUGGGUGAUGAAGGCCUUCGGGUCGUAAAGCCCUGUCAGGUGGGAAGAAAGGUUUCCAGGAGAAACACUUGGGAUUUGACGGUACCACCAGAGGAAGCACCGGCUAACUCCGUGCCAGCAGCCGCGGUAAUACAGAGGGUGCGAGCGUUAUUCGGAAUUAUUGGGCGUAAAGCGCGUGUAGGCGGGGAUGCAAGUCUGAUGUGAAAGCCCUGGGCUUAACCUGGGAAGUGCAUUGGAAACUGUAUUUCUUGAGUACUGGAGAGGAAGGGGGAAUUCCCGGUGUAGAGGUGAAAUUCGUAGAGAUCGCGGAGGAAUACCAGUGGCGUAGGCGCCUUUCUGGACGGUUACUGACGCUGAGACGCGAAAGCGUGGGGAGCAAACAGGAUUAGAUACCCUGGUAGUCCACGCUGUAAACGAUGAGCACUAGGUGUAGCGGGUACUCAUUCCUGCUGUGCCGUAGCUAACGCGUUAAGUGCUCCGCCUGGGGAUUACGG
rnacentral:rRNA from 1 species